rnacentral:rRNA from 1 species
UUGAGAGUUUGAUCCUGGCUCAGAACGAACGCUGGCGGCAGGCCUAACACAUGCAAGUCGAGCGCACCUUCGGGUGAGCGGCGGACGGGUUAGUAACGCGUGGGAACGUACCCUUUUCUACGGAAUAGCCUUUGGAAACGAAGAGUAAUACCGUAUACGCCCUUUGGGGGAAAGAUUUAUCGGAGAAGGAUCGGCCCGCGUUAGAUUAGAUAGUUGGUGGGGUAACGGCCUACCAAGUCUACGAUCUAUAGCUGGUUUUAGAGGAUGAUCAGCAACACUGGGACUGAGACACGGCCCAGACUCCUACGGGAGGCAGCAGUGGGGAAUCUUAGACAAUGGGCGCAAGCCUGAUCUAGCCAUGCCGCGUGAGUGAUGAAGGCCUUAGGGUCGUAAAGCUCUUUCGCCUGUGAUGAUAAUGACAGUAGCAGGUAAAGAAACCCCGGCUAACUCCGUGCCAGCAGCCGCGGUAAUACGGAGGGGGUUAGCGUUGUUCGGAAUUACUGGGCGUAAAGCGCACGUAGGCGGAUUGGAAAGUUGGGGGUGAAAUCCCGGGGCUCAACCCCGGAACUGCCUCCAAAACUAUCAGUCUAGAGUUCGAGAGAGGUGAGUGGAAUUCCAAGUGUAGAGGUGAAAUUCGUAGAUAUUUGGAGGAACACCAGUGGCGAAGGCGGCUCACUGGCUCGAUACUGACGCUGAGGUGCGAAAGUGUGGGGAGCAAACAGGAUUAGAUACCCUGGUAGUCCACGCCGUAAACGAUGUCAACUAGCCGUUGGGAGGGUAAUCCUUUUAGUGGCGCAGCUAACGCUCUAAGUUGACCGCCUGGGGAGUACGGUCGCAAGAUUAAAACUCAA